rnacentral:rRNA from 1 species
GAUGAACGCUGGCGGCGUGCUUAACACAUGCAAGUCGAACGGAAAGGCCCUGCUUUUGUGGGGUGCUCGAGUGGCGAACGGGUGAGUAACACGUGAGUAACCUGCCCUUGACUUUGGGAUAACUUCAGGAAACUGGGGCUAAUACCGGAUAGGAGCUCCUGCUGCAUGGUGGGGGUUGGAAAGUUUCGGCGGUUGGGGAUGGACUCGCGGCUUAUCGGCUUGUUGGUGGGGUAGUGGCUUACCAAGGCUUUGACGGGUAGCCGGCCUGAGAGGGGGACCGGCGACCUUGGGACUGAGAGACGGCCCAGACUCCUACGGGAGGCAGCAGGGGGGAAUAUUGCACAGUGGGCGGAAGCCUGAUGCAGCAACGCCGCGUGCGGGAUGACGGCCUUCGGGUUGUAAACCGCUUUCGCCUGUGACGAAGCGUGAGUGACGGUAAUGGGUAAAGAAGCACCGGCUAACUACGUG